rnacentral:rRNA from 1 species
GACGAACGCUGGCGGCGUGCUUAACACAUGCAAGUCGACAUGAGUGGCGAACGGGUGAGUAUUACGUGGGUAACCUGCCCUCCUUUUUGGGAUAAUCCUUGGAAACGGGGUCUAAUACCGAAUAAAGGGGGCUGGGCUCGCGUCCUAGCAGCUGGUUGGUGGGGUGAUGGACUACCAAGGCGGUGACGGGUAGCCGGCCUGUGAGGGUGACCGGCCACAUUGGGACUGAGAGACGGCUCAGACUGCUACGGGAGGCAGCAGUGGGGGAUAUUGCACAAUGGGCGAGAGCCUGAUGCAGCGACGCGGCGUGGGGGAUGAAGGCUUUCGGGUUGUAAACCUCUUUCGAUAGCGAACGGGUAGGUGGAGAAGAAGCGCCGGCUAACUACGUGCCAGCGGCCGCGUAAUUC